rnacentral:lncRNA from 1 species
CAAUUUUGGUGGAGAAUGCGGGCACGAUUCAUCUGAAGCUUUAACGUUAGUAAGAAAAAAAAGGAUUUCGUUAGGCCAGACUGUGAGACUACAAAGCAUUGCUGGUGCUGGUGUGACCUUCAUAGAUUAGAUUAUAGCCUGGGCAGUCCGCCAAACUCCAGACACUGUACCGAGUGGUUCCCGUUUGUUUUUUUUUUUUUUUCCCUCCUUCUCUUUAUUCCCCCUUACGUUAGCAGUUAUCAACUAUGAGGUUGCUCUGUAUUGUCAAAGCACUGUAUAAGGGAUUAAAAGCUAUUAUGUUCCUUGCCAGUUACCGGUCUAUAAUUAACCUCUUCAUGUCUUGCUGUGGAGUUGUAUUCAUAUACAACCAAGUGAGGGCCCUGAUAGAGGCACCUGCCUGGUGGCUUUAUGCAAUGUGGUAUAAUUUGAAUUUUGAGACCUUCGAACCGGUUUCUAGGCUUCCCUCCCAGUUUGUUGAACGUUUUUCGAACACCGAG